GGCACUCCUUGGCCUGGCUUUAAAUAGCCCGCUGGGAAGACCACCUGGGGACCGGCUGGAAUGCGCCUCCUCCUCUUUAGAGAACAGGACCCCUCAGCUCCCCCACCUGCGCCAUGAAGGUUCAGUCGCGGGUUUACGCUCCAAAUGACAAGAUAUCAACUGCAAAACAAAGGGGGUCCCGGGGUUCCUCUCCAGCUCUCUGGGGGCAGAACAGCCACGUCCAACGGUCCUACUUCUGCUCACUGUGUGACAGGAUACCGUGAGUACCCCUGGGUCAGACCCUGGGGCUGGGUGAGGCUGGCCAUGCCUGGCUGGCAAAUUCAGCUUCCAGUCAGCCCCCUAGGGAAGCCCUGGGCGCAAAGCUAUGACACUGUCCACAGCCGCAGCCUGCUGCUGCUGGGAACUGACACUUUUCCCCGCUGGAGGCCGGGGUCCACCCGGCAUGAGUCUGCAGCUCUCCCACUUUGCAGCCCCUGGAGGAGGCUGGCCAGAGCUUCUCAGCAACAAACCCCACUUUUCCUGCACCAGUAAAUUCAGCCUCAGUCCAACCUUCCUCCUCCCUGUUCUGGUGAGCACAGCCCCAGGUCUCUCGCUCACAAGGAAAAGUGCCCCCUGCAAUCUCUCCCUGGGUCUCUGGGUGUGGCACAAGCGAAAAAGCUCUCCCUGCCCGCUCCCUCUUUGAAGGAGUGUCUCUGCUGGGCUACAUUAGGCCGUGUGGGCACAGUGCCAGUCAGGCUGAAAACGCCAGACCAAGUGUAGACAGAGAGGGAGGGGAGAAAGGCAGCCCAGCUCCUGAACCACGCGCAAACUGUCCCGUAAGGGACACUGUCGGCAUUGUCGUCCCUCUAAGAAUGAGGGAACCUGGAAAGCUGGGGCGUGAGGAUGGCACGGAGGUCCCGGAACCAAGAGGGGACCACUGUCCUUGUGCAAGCCUGCUCCACCUGGCCAGAGAGAAUGUCCCAUUCAGUCUGACCAGAGGGUUCAGUCCUACACUCAGGCUGGCUAGACUCACAAGACCUGUACCUGUGGUGACAAGGACUCCAGGUAGUCUCAAAGAGCCUGGUGUGGCCCCGGCCUGGUGGUGAUAUGCUGAUAAAAGCAGCUUCAGAUCCACAAAUGUGGGCUGGGGCUGGCCGAGCACAGCCAGCUGGCUUCCAGGGGGCUCUCGGGCCCUGGCUCCUGUACUGAGCCCACUGCACGGGCAGUACCCUCAGCGGGGCUGCUCCUGGCUAUCUUGCUGGUCUAAGCUGGAGACAGGCCUCCAUGGAGAGACAGCGUGGGGCACCAGUGGGGGUGCUGGCUGGGGCCCUGUCCUGCUGUGUAACCUCAGAGAAGUUGCUUGCUCUCUCGGGUCUCAGCUUCCCCACGUAUAGAAGGAAGGAGGCGGGAGCGGAUGAUCUAUAGCAUUCUAGGACCCUAUGCCUCUCAGUACAUUUGAAAACUGAGAUCCUCACCUCCACAGAAACGCACUCACUCCAGGUGAGGUGUGAGAAGCUGGGUGGAUCUAACUCAGGGAACCCACGGCUUUUGACAAGAACUCAUCUAAUUUUCCACGGAGCCAUCUUCUGCCUGCUACCCUCAUCAUCACUUAAAAAAACAGCUCCCCAGGCCGGGCGCAGUGGCUCACACCUGUAAUCCCAACACUUUGGGAGGCCGAGGGCGGAUCACCUGAUGUCAGGAGUUCGAGACCAGUCUGGCUAACAUGGUGAAAUCCUGUUUCUACUAAAAAUACAAAAAUUAGCCGGGCAUGGUGGCGCACACUCGUGAUCCCAGCUACUCGGGAGGCUGAGGCAGGAGAAUCACUUGAAUCUGGGAGGCAGAGGUUGCAGUGAGCUGAGAUCAUGCCAUUGCACUCUAGCUUGGGCAACAAGAGAGAAACUCCAUCUCAAAGAAAACCAAAACCAACAACAAAAACAUAGCUCCCCACCUCCAGCUUGCCUACCUUCCUUCAGGGCACACACCGCAGACACCCUAGGACAGACACCCAAAAGGUGUUGGGGGUGCUAGUGACGGUGCACGGGGGUGACAGCCCCCAAAGCCAGUGAGACCCGUCCCGGGGGGGCAUUCUCGUGUGCCGGGCACCCCCCUAUGGCUGUCUACAAUGUGCUGCUAGAUGGUCAGUCCUCCCAAUAGCCUCAAAACACGGGCAUCUCAUUCCAUAUCAGAGACAUGAAGCAACCUGUUCAUGUCACAAAAGGAAGAAGUGGAGGUGGCAUUCAAGGAGGAGCAGCUGAAAACACUAGAGCAGGCCCCUGGCAGAGAAGGAAAUCCAGAAGGUACAUGCCGGCUGCCAUCUUGCUCCUGAAGGGCUACGAGGCAGAAGAGGGGGCAAGGUCUAAGUGACCACAAGUGGGACUAACUGGGGGCCAGCAGGGAGUCCGACCUUCUGCAGUGGGUGGGCUGCCUCAGCAGGCGGAGGUUCCUCACCAUCCUGGGUGCUCAUGCAAAGACCACAUGGCCUCAAGGAUGGCCGCAGGCCAAUUGCAGGGUGGAGGGCCCCGUUCGAUGACCUUCACGGUGGUUCUAAACCAGCUCUGCCAAGGCAGCGGCACCGGGAGUGACUGGCCUCACUGACGUAGCCAUCUCAGCGAGAACCGGCUGAGACCUGGGACAAGGCAACGAUAAUUACAGCCAAAGGUCUGGCACCAGCCCCUGGCCACCUGUCCCCACCACCACCCCUGGAUUAGAGCAACUGCCUUGGUGAACUGGAUCAGGCUGGGUUGGGACAAGGUUGUCUCUGGCUCCUCUCUAAAGAGGCACCAGCUCCCUCAUGCCCACAGGAGAGGCAGAAGGGGAAAGCCUUCUGGAGUGGCACCUUGGGCCUCUUGGGCACCCUGAGACAGGAAGAGGCUCUCCUGGGGCAGGGGUGGGAGUGGAGAGGACUUUCCUGGUCAGGCUAGAGAAACAGAUGACGCCAGCAGGGGAGGGGCUGGCUUGAGCAACCUGGGCCUCCUGACCCCCUCCCAACAGACAGGACAGAAACCCUGGCAAAACCUGGAGGGACACGGUGCGGCCUCCCCCUCUGGCAGAACAGGCAUGAGUGUAGAAACUGGGCUGGUGGGAGAGGUUGGGGGGCCUGGGGGACAGGGGGGCAGUUUUCACCUCUGACUGACCCUGGCCAGAAGCCCCAUGAACCUGCUCUCGGGAGAACCUGCUCCUUCUGUCCCCACAUUGAUGGAAGGCAAGAGUACCAGCUUGGCAUCCUAUCCCAGUCUCCCCACCCCGAGGGAGCUGUGCCAGUCCCAAGCACCCAGGCAAAACCCAGUAGUGGUACCUCAAGACAAGGGAAUGGAACAGCGAAGCCAGAAACCACCACCAGCCGCCGCCUUGGCCGGCAGCCCCCGAAGCAAGCCCUUGGUCUCACUGUCCUCACCGGCUUCCUCCACCCUGAGCUGUGUCAGCUGGGUGGGGACUGAGGGCCACCACUAGGUGGAAGUCACCAGGGGUGCAAUGUGUGAGACCUGACAAACUUGUUCUGCGGGCUGCGGAUGGGUGCGAGGGUGGAAUCUCGGUGCUGCGACGAGUGUGGGGCCAGCCGUGGAGGCUCCAGGUGUUCUCUCUGCCCCAGCAGAGCCCGGCAGGAGCCCCAACAGGAAGCCAGCGCGGCAUGGCUGCCACCGACUUCGUGCAGGAGAUGCGCGCCGUGGGCGAGAGGCUGCUGCUCAAGCUGCAGAGACUGCCCCAGGCUGAGCCCGUGGAGAUCGUGGCCUUCUCAGUCAUCAUCCUUUUCACAGCUACUGUUCUGCUGUUGCUGCUGAUAGCCUGCAGCUGCUGCUGCACUCACUGCUGCUGCCCUGAGCGGAGAGGCAGGAAGGUCCAGGUGCAGCCGACACCACCAUGACGGACGGGCGAUGGCUGAGGAGAAGCUGGAGAGGAGAUGGCCAAUGCCAUGACACAGGCCAUCAGCCUGGCCCUGCAGCCCUUACCCCUCAAGACCAGGCUCCCCUGGCCCCAGCUCUGGCCCAGCCCAGGUACCUGGACACUGACAACUUGAGCCCUACCAAGGAAACAAGGGCUGGUAUAGGUGCAAACCUCUCAUCUGCCAGUGGACACUGGGUGCUGGGGAGUCAGCUGUUUCAAAGACUGGGUCAACUGCCUGGGCUUCUUCGCCUACCUGCACUUUUUAACAAAACAAGGAAGUAGGGGUCCCCAUACCUUGAUGGAGAACAGUCCCCACCUGUGGGCAAUUGGCCCUUGGGGCUCUGCUGAUACAUGCCAAAGAGGAGCAAGGCAAUCAGAGGGGCUUUGUGCAAUAGCUUCUGCAUCCGAGCUCCCGCCAGAGCGUGAGCAUGUCAGUAUUCUAGUCCAGUAUUUGCCAGUUUCCAAGUAAAAGCUUUUGUGUUACGUGUU